rnacentral:rRNA from 1 species
GAUAAACGCUAGCGGCAGGCUUAACACAUGCAAGUCGAGGGGCAGCAUAGAUUGUAGCAAUACAAUCGGUGGCGACCGGCGCACGGGUGCGUAACGCGUAUGCAACCUACCCGUCACAGGGGGAUAAUCCGGAGAAAUCUGGUCUAAUACCCCAUAACAUAUGGAUCGGCAUCGGUUCAUGUUGAGAUUUUCGGAGGUGACGGAUGGGCAUGCGUAGCAUUAGCUUGUUGGUGAGGUAAUGGCUCACCAAGGCGACGAUGCUUAGGGGGACUGAGAGGUUUUCCCCCCACACUGGUACUGAGACACGGACCAGACUCCUACGGGAGGCAGCAGUGAGGAAUAUUGGUCAAUGGGCGCAAGCCUGAACCAGCCAUGCCGCGUGCAGGAUGACGGCUCUAUGAGUUGUAAACUGCUUUUGUACGAGGGUAAAGUGGGUUACGUGUAACCUUUUGAAAGUAUCGUACGAAUAAGGAUCGGCUAACUCCGUGCCAGCCGCCGCAGUAA